rnacentral:rRNA from 1 species
CAACCCGUCUCUGUUGCAAAAGAGUGGGAAGAUUUUCAAGUAGAGGUGACAAGCCUAUCGAACUUAGAGAUAGCUGGUUGUUCAGGAAAAGAGUCCCAGCUCUACCUUAAGUUUUUCAAUUAACCUAAACAAAAUCCUAGACUUAAGAGCUAUUCAAGUAAGGCACAGCUUACUUGAAACAGGGUACAACCUCCCACAUUGGGUAAACAAGAACAAAUCAAACAAAGUGGGCCUAAGAGCAGCCAUCUUAUAAAAAGCGUUAAAGCUUAACUUACAUGCACUCAUAAUUCCAAUAGUUAUUAUUAACCCCUCAUUACUACUGAACUAUUUUAUAACCCUAUAAAAAUUAUUAUGCUAGAACUAGUAACAUGAAUACUUUUCUCCUUAAUGUAAGCUUAAACCAUAAUGGACCAUCCACUGGUAUUUAACGUAACUGUUCUUAUUAUAGCAACAUACGUCUAGAAAACCCUAUAAUCAAUAACGUUAACCUUACACUAGAACAUUAUAGGAAAGAUUAAAAGAAAGAGAAGGAACUCGGCAAACCCCAGCCCCGCCUGUUUACCAAAAACAUCGCCUCUUGCAUAACAUAAGAGGUCCAGCCUGCCCAGUGACAUAGUUUAACGGCCGCGGUACCCUAACCGUGCGAAGGUAGCAUAAUCACUUGUUCCCUAAAUAGGGACUAGUAUCAAUGGCAUCACGAGGGCUACACUGUCUCCUCUCUCCAAUCAGUGAAACUGAUCUCCCCGUGAAGAAGCGGGGAUUUUAAUAUAAGACGAGAAGACCCCAUGGAGCUUUAAACUUAAUAUACACCUCUACCCAUCUAUACCAAUUAACCCUAAAAGUCUGUGUAUUAGUUUUAGGUUGGGGGGACCGCGGAGUACAACUCAACCUCCACGACAAACGGGCCAACGCCCUUAUACAUGAAACACAAUUCUAAGAAUCAACAAUCUGAUGUUUUAUGACCCGACAAGUCGAUCAACGAACCAAGUUACCCUGGGGAUAACAGCGCAAUCUA